rnacentral:rRNA from 1 species
UACGUAGGGGGCAAGCGUUGUCCGGAAUUAUUGGGCGUAAAGCGCGCGCAGGCGGUCUUUUAAGUCUGGUGUUUAAACCCAGGGCUCAACCUUGGGUCGCACUGGAAACUGGGAGACUGGAGUGUAGGAGAGGAAAGUGGAAUUCCAGCGUGGUAGCGGUGAAAUGCGUAGAGAUGUGGAAGAACACCAGUGGCGAAGGCGGCCCGCUGGGCAGUGGCUGACGCUGAAGCGCGACAGCGUGGGGAGCAAACAGG